GGUUUUCUUGCAGCCACGCUCCAACGUGCCAGUCAUACUAUAACCCAUGUUGAAGUCGCUCGACGAUACGUUCGACGUCAGGUACAACUGAAAAACAGAAGCAAACGAGCAUUAUUGCGAAAUUUUCUUUCUAUAGUGAAAGGUUGAUUACUCGAGUUUUGAUUAGCCAAUUAUUGUCGUGGAUACUAAUCUAAAAAAAAAAGAAUAAUUAAAUUAUUAUAAUCUAUUUUUGUAUUAGGAAAUUCAGAUUUAAUUUUUCCUGAUUAUACGUAAAAGCAUUUAUGCAAACAUGUUCCAAUUAGUCGGGUAAUUGACGUUCUAUUGUAUAUUUAAUAAUAUGCUCGCGUUUUCUUGUGUUCGUACCAUCGAAAAUCCGAUCGUCGACGAUCGUUUCGAGCUAGCCAACGAAAACAAAUAACGCGAGGGGUUAAAGUGGCGUAUACCUUGAAAUCAGGAUCGGUUGUCAUUCUUUUGAAAGAGCCGACGAUGUAAAGCGUACCAGUUCCUGUGUCCACCAUUUUUGCUUGAGUGCUGUACCUGAAACCACAAAAAUUUGAUCAGUGACGUGCAAAGUGAAAAUUAGAAUAUUAUUUCAAUCUUAAAAAUAACAAUGUUUACGAUUUUUAUGAACGUAUAUCUAAUUGAAUGUUAACAGAUAGUUAAUAAAACAUACAGAAUAAAGUGGGAUAAGAAAAAUUAAAA